rnacentral:rRNA from 1 species
GAUGAACGCUAGCUACAGGCUUAACACAUGCAAGUCGAGGGGAAACGAUAUUGGAAGCUUGCUUCCGAUAGGCGUCGACCGGCGCACGGGUGAGUAACGCGUAUCCAACCUGCCCAUCACUUGGGGAUAACCUUGCGAAAGUAAGACUAAUACCCAAUGACGUCUCUAGAAGACAUCUGAAAGAGAUUAAAGAUUUAUCGGUGAUGGAUGGGGAUGCGUCUGAUUAGCUUGUUGGCGGGGUAACGGCCCACCAAGGCAACGAUCAGUAGGGGUUCUGAGAGGAAGGUCCCCCACAUUGGAACUGAGACACGGUCCAAAACUCCUACGGGAGGCAGCAGUGAGGAAUAUUGGUCAAUGGGCGAGAGCCUGAACCAGCCAAGUAGCGUGCAGGAUGACGGCCCUAUGGGUUGUAAACUGCUUUUAUAAGGGAAUAAAGUGAGCCACGUGUGGCUUUUUGCAUGUACCCUAUGAAUAAGGUACAUGCAAAAAAGUCU